rnacentral:rRNA from 1 species
GACGAACGCUGGCGGCGUGCUUAACACAUGCAAGUCGAACGGUGAAGCGCCUUCCUUUUUGGUGGGUGUGGAUGAGUGGCGAACGGGUGAGUAACACGUGAGUAACCUGCCCCCUUCUUCUGGAUAACCGCAUGAACGUGUGGCUAAUACGGGAUAUUCUGGGUCUGUCGCAUGAUGGGUCUGGGAAAGAUAUUGUUUCGGUGGGGGAUGGGCUCGCGGCCUAUCAGCUUGUUGGUGGGGUGAUGGCCUACCAAGGCGGUGACGGGUAGCCGGCCUGAGAGGGUGGACGGUCACACUGGGACUGAGACACGGCCCAGACUCCUACGGGAGGCAGCAGUGGGGAAUAUUGCACAAUGGGCGCAAGCCUGAUGCAGCGACGCCGCGUGAGGGAUGGAGGCCUUCGGGUUGUGAACCUCUUUCGCCAGUGAAGCAGGCCUGCCUCGUUUGUGGGUGGGUUGACGGUAGCUGGAUAAGAAGCGCCGGCUAACUACGUG